rnacentral:rRNA from 1 species
AUUGAACGCUGGCGGCAGGCCUAACACAUGCAAGUCGAGCGGAGCGGCGGACGGGUGAGUAAUGCCUAGGAAUCUGCAUGGUAGUGGGGGAUAACGUCCGGAAACGGGCGCUCCUACAGCAUACAAUCAGAUGAGCCUAGGUCGGAUUAGCUAGUUGGUGGGGUACAGGCCUACAAAGACGACGAUACGUAACUGGUCUGCGAAGAUGAUCAGUCACAUUGGAACUGGUAAACGGUCCAGGAUCCUACGGGACGGAGCAGUGGGUAAUAGUGGACAAUGGGCGAAAGGCGGAACCAGCCAUUACGCGUGUGUGAAGAAGGUCUUCGGAUUGUAAAGUGCUUUAAGUUGGGGGGAGUUACCAACAGAAUAAGCACCGGCUAACUUCGUGCCAGCAGCCGCGGUAAUUC